ACGGGAGGCAGCAGUGAGGAAUAUUGGUCAAUGGGCGGAAGCCUGAACCAGCCAAGUAGCGUGCAGGAUGACGGCCCUAUGGGUUGUAAACUGCUUUUGUCAGGGAAUAAAGAGGAUUACGUGUAAUCCAUUGCAUGUACCUGAAGAAUAAGGACCGGCUAAUUCCGUGCCAGCAGCCGCGGUAAUACGGAAGGUCCGGGCGUUAUCCGGAUUUAUUGGGUUUAAAGGGAGCGCAGGUGGCCUUUUAAGCGUGUUGUGAAAUGUAGUGGCUCAACCUCUGCACUGCAGCGCGAACUGGAGGGCUUGAGUACGCGGGGAGUAGGCGGAAUUCGUCGUGUAGCGGUGAAAUGCUUAGAUAUGACGAAGAACUCCGAUUGCGAAGGCAGCCUACUGUAGCGUUACUGACGCUAAGGCACGAAAGCAUGGGGAUCAAACAGGAUUAGAUACCCUGGUA
rnacentral:rRNA from 1 species